rnacentral:rRNA from 1 species
GACGAACGCUGGCGGCGUGCUUAACACAUGCCAGUCGAACGGAAAGGCCCUGCUUUUGUGGGGUGCUCGAGUGGCGAACGGGUGAGUAACACGUGAGUAACCUGCCCUUGACUUUGGGAUAACUUCAGGAAACUGGGGCUAAUACCGGAUAGGAGCUCCUGCUGCAUGGUGGGGGUUGGAAAGUUUCGGCGGUUGGGGAUGGAUUGGCGGCUUAUGGGCUAGUUGGUGGGGUAGUGGCUUACCAAGGCUUUGACGGAUCGCCGGCCUGGGAGGGUGGCCGGCCACAUUGGGACUGAGAGACGGCGCAGACGCCUACGGGAGGCAGCAGUGGGGAGUAUUGCACAAUGGGCGGAAGCCUGAUGCAGCAACGCCGCGUGCGGGAUGACGGCCUUCGGGUUGUAAACCGCUUUCGCCUGUGACGAAGCGUGAGUGACGGUAAUGGGUAAAGAAGCACCGGCUAACUACGUG